GACGAACGCUGGCGGCGUGCUUAACACAUGCAAGUCGAACGGAAAGGCCCUGCUUUUGUGGGGUGCUCGAGUGGCGAACGGGUGAGUAACACGUGAGUAACCUGCCCUUGACUUUGGGAUAACUUCAGGAAACUGGGGCUAAUACCGGAUAGGAGCUCCUGCUGCAUGGUGGGGGUUGGAAAGUUUCGGCGGUUGGGGAUGGACUCGCGGCUUAUCAGCUUGUUGGUGGGGUAGUGGCUUACCAAGGCUUUGACGGGUAGCCGGCCUGAGAGGGUGACCGGCGACCAUGGGACUGAGAUACGGCCCAGUGUCCUACGGGAGGCAGCAGUGGGGAAUAUUGCACAACGGGCGGAAGCGUGAUGCAGCAACCCCGCGUGCGGGAUGCCGGCCUUCGGGUUGUAAACCGCUUUCGCCUGUGACGAAGCGUGAGUGACGGUAAUGGGUAAAGAAGCACCGGCUAACUACGUG
rnacentral:rRNA from 1 species